GACGAACGUUGGCGGCGUGCUUAAUACAUGCAAGUCAACUGAAGCAGUGGUAGCAAUAUCGCUGUGGAGGUGGCGCACGGGUGAGUAACACGUAGGUAAUCUGCCUUCAGGUCUGGCAUAACUCCGGGAAACCGGGGCUAAUAGCAGAUGAUGCAGCGGCUCGACAUCGAGACAGUUGUUAAAGCUAUGGCGCCUGAAGAUGAGCCUGCGUCUGAUUAGCUAGUUGGCGGGGUAACGGCCCACCAAGGCAACGAUCAGUAGCUGGUCUGAGAGGAUGAUCAGCCACACUGGAACUGAGACACGGUCCAGACUCCUACGGGAGGCAGCAGUAAGGAAUAUUGCUCAAUGGGAGAAAUCCUGAAGCAGCAACGCCGCGUGAGAGACGAAGGGCUUUUGCUUGUAAACCUCUGUAGUGAGAGAAAAAAAUCCCAAUCUUUGGGACAUGAUGGUAUCUCAAAAGUAAGCCCCGGCUAACUACGUG
rnacentral:rRNA from 1 species